UUUGUACUCCCUCCGUCCGGAAAUGCUUGUCGGAGAAAUGGAUAUAUCUAGACGUAUUUUAGUUCUAGAUCCAUUCAUAUUUGUACAUUUAUCCGACAAGUAUUUCCGGACAGAGGGAGUAGAAG
rfam:Triticum aestivum genome assembly, contig: Triticum_aestivum_CS42_TGACv1_scaffold_030387_1BL